UGGGGAAUUUUGGACAAUGGGCGAAAGCCUGAUCCAGCAAUGCCGCGUGUGUGAAGAAGGCCUUCGGGUUGUAAAGCACUUUUGUCCGGAAAGAAAUGGCUCUGGUUAAUACCUGGGGUCGAUGACGGUACCGGAAGAAUAAGGACCGGCUAACUACGUGCCAGCAGCCGCGGUAAUACGUAGGGUCCAAGCGUUAAUCGGAAUCACUGGGCGUAAAGCGUGCGCAGGCGGUUGUGCAAGACCGAUGUGAAAUCCCCGAGCUUAACUUGGGAAUUGCAUUGGUGACUGCACGGCUAGAGUGUGUCAGAGGGGGGUAGAAUUCCACGUGUAGCAGUGAAAUGCGUAGAGAUGUGGAGGAAUACCGAUGGCGAAGGCAGCCCCCUGGGAUAACACUGACGCUCAUGCACGAAAGCGUGGGGAGCAAACAGG
rnacentral:rRNA from 1 species